rnacentral:lncRNA from 1 species
AAUUACGGUUUAUCAAAGAUCCUAAUAGUGCAAAUGGGCCCAAGGCUCAUUAUGCAACCCAAGUAGGCCCACAUGCCCGUGUGGCCCAUCAAGCCCAAAAAUUACCACGACCAUGUGAACUACACAUCCCGGUCUAGUAAUUACCAUGUAUAGUGGAAUAUAUCCUUGUGGAGCCCAUAAGCCCGUUUGCCCACACAGCCCAU